GUGCUGCCAAAGUACAUAUACUAAAACUGGAAUGAUACAAAGAUGAUUAGCAUGGCCCCUGCUCAAAAAUGAAACACAUAUUCAGGGAGUAUAUGCUAACUGGU